AGCUGUUGACCGUUAAUUAGGUGCGAUGAACCAGGCCAGCAGAGAGGUAGAGAAGCUUCCUUAAGGAAGCUAAAUAGUCACCCAAAGGUGUACCAGUGAAACAAGUUGUAAUGAGGAAAGCAAGAGCGCCAGUCCCUUCUUGAGAAAGUCCAGGAAGGCCUGGCAGGACACCUUUUUCACGCAGGAACAUCAGAGAAAGACUGCUGUGGAACCUCAUGGAACCUCAGUGAGAAGAAGGACCUUACCAAGUACUGUUAACAACUAACACAACUGUAAAUCCUCCCAAACAUAAAGACAUAAGCCACACUAAAAUUGUUGGAGGCUGUCGUAACAAAGACCUCAAGCAGAGGUAUGGGAGAAAUCAUUCUGUAGCAGAUGACUGCAGGAAGAGACACCUUCUACCCAAGACCAUCAGGACCAAGCUGGUGACUUCACGAAGUGUACAACUUCCCCAAGACCCAUUAGACAAGAUGACCUGAGCCACAGAUUGUCAUGCUCCAAUCUGCAUACUUUGAAAACAAAAAUCAGUUACCUAGCUAAUGUAGUAAUUAAUAAAAAUGAUUAAGACUA